ACCAGAAAAGACCACAAAUAGCCAAAGGGAUAUUGAAAAAGAAAGCCAAAGUUGGUGGCAUCACAAUUGCGAAUAAUGUUUUUUAACAGCGCUCGGGGCCUUGAGAGUUACUUAACCUCUUGAUUACUGUUGAAGAAAAUAAGGCACAGAGAAGCUAAGUAAUUUCCCAUCUUUCAAGAUCUCAAAACUGAGUUUGACCCCAGGCUGCCAAUCACUGAGAAGAAUCAGAAGUCAUGAAUGCACCAGCCACUCCCAGACGGAGUCCGAAUGUAGUACUAGCCCAGAGAGAAGCAGGCUCUGCCUCACCACCCCUCCCCCAAAGGUAGUUAUGACCCGAUCCUCACAGGAGAGUUAUAGACCAGGUUGGAAUCAGGUGAAAGCCUCGAGGUGCUGAAGAAUGAGUCAAGACACCUUCAGAGGUGGAGUUCUCCAGAGACCCCCUCAGAGUCUGGAGAUGGCGCCCAAGACCUCUGGCACCUCCCAAGGGAGGAGAUACUCACUCACAGCAAGAGUGAAGAGCCGGCAAUCACCAGGAACCAAGCCCAGUCGCGACAGCAGGGAUUUGCCCACCUUAGGAAGGUGGGCUGACGCUUCUAGUUUAUGAGAUGGCUCCCCGGGGGGGACCCAAAAGGGAGGAAAAAAGUCAUUAACUACGUGUAUCGUAGUCACAUGGAUACACACACGUGGGGUACCUUUCAGGUUAGGAUUUGUGUUUUAUGCCACUACCACUUGUUGCCAGUAGAGUUCUGACAGGAGA